rnacentral:rRNA from 1 species
UGAGCAAUCUGCCCUUCUCUUUGGAAUAAGCGUUGGAAACGACGUCUAAUGUCGAAUACGACCUCCUUUCGCAUGAUCGGAGGUGGAAAGCUCCGGCGGAGAAGGAUGAGCUCGCGGCCUAUCAGCUAGUUGGUGUGGGUAAUGGCCCACAAGGCGACGACGGGUAGCCGGCCUGGAGGAGGGUGAUCCGGCCACACGUGGGACUGAGACACGGCCCAGACCUCCGUACGGGAGCAG